rnacentral:rRNA from 1 species
AACGUAGGGUGCAAGCGUUGCUCGGAUUCACUGGGCGUAAAGGGUCCGUAGGUGGGGUUAUAAGUCGGGUGUGAAAUUCCGGGGCUCAACCCCGGCGCUGCGCUCGAUACUGUAAUCCUAGAGUGUGGGAGAGGAGAGCGGAAUUCCCGGUGUAGCGGUGGAAUGCGUAGAUAUCGGGAGGAACGCCAACGACGAAGGUAGCUCUCUGGCCCACCACUGACACUCAGGGACGAAAGCGUGGGGAGCAAACAGGAUUAGAUACCCCUGUA